CCCCAGUGUCUGCUCAAGGUGGUUGGGGGAUGGAUUGCUCCCUACUCAGGAAAGAAGGGGGAAUAUGAACAGGAAGUGGGCUGUGCAGGGUGGAGGUGCCCUAUUGUCAGGCUGAAGGCUGGGAGCCGACAUCUAAUCAUCAAAAUGAUGGAACUCUGAGGGCUGAAGGGAUGUUAAGGCACUGAGGGCCACAGCACUUGUUCUCAUCAACAUCAUCAUCAGCAUCAGCAUCAUUGUCACCAUAACCAGCAUCAUUGGCAUCAGCAU